rnacentral:rRNA from 1 species
AUUGAACGCUGGCGGCAUGCUUUACACAUGCAAGUCGAACGGUAACAGGCCGCAAGGUGCUGACGAGUGGCGAACGGGUGAGUAAUGCAUCGGAACGUGCCCAGUCGUGGGGGAUAACUACUCGAAAGAGUAGCUAAUACCGCAUACGAUCUAUGGAUGAAAGCGGGGGACCGUAAGGCCUCGCGCGAUUGGAGCGGCCGAUGUCAGAUUAGGUAGUUGGUGGGGUAAAGGCUCACCAAGCCAACGAUCUGUAGCUGGUCUGAGAGGACGACCAGCCACACUGGGACUGAGACACGGCCCAGACUCCUACGGGAGGCAGCAGUGGGGAAUUUUGGACAAUGGGCGCAAGCCUGAUCCAGCAAUGCCGCGUGCAGGAAGAAGGCCUUCGGGUUGUAAACUGCUGUUGUACGGAACGAAACGGCUCUGGUUAAUACCCGGGGCUAAUGACGGUACCGUAAGAAUAAGCACCGGCUAACUACGUG